GUGGAUAUAGCUCAGUAGGUCAGAGCACCAGAUUGUGGUUCUGGGGGUCGAGGGUUCGAGUCCCUCUAUCCACCCA
rnacentral:tRNA from 1 species